rnacentral:rRNA from 1 species
UACGUAGGGUGCAAGCGUUUGUCCGGAAUUAUUGGGCGUAAAGAGCUCGUAGGCGGUGUGUCACGUCGGCCGUGAAAACCUGCAGCUUAACUGUGGGCGUGCGGGCGAUACGGGCAGACUGGAGUACUGCAGGGGAGACUGGAAUUCCUGGUGUAGCGGUGGAAUGCGCAGAUAUCAGGAGGAACACCGGUGGCGAAGGCGGGUCUCUGGGCAGUAACUGACGCUGGAGGAGCGAAAGCGUGGGGAGCGAACAGG